AUUGAACGCUGGCGGCAUGCUUUACACAUGCAAGUCGAACGGCAGCACGGGGGCAACCCUGGUGGCGAGUGGCGAACGGGUGAGUAACACAUCGGAACGUGUCCAGUUGUGGGGGAUAACCCAUCGAAAGGUGGGCUAAUACCGCAUGAGCUGGCAACAGGAAAGCGGGGGACCCGCAAGGGCCUUGUGCGAUUGGAGCGGCCGAUGUCCGAUUAGCUAGUUGGUGGGGUAAAGGCCUACCAAGGCUUCGAUCGGUAGCUGGUCUGAGAGGAUGAUCAGCCACACUGGGACUGAGACACGGCCCAGACUCCUACGGGAGGCAGCAGUGGGGAAUUUUGGACAAUGGGGGCAACCCUGAUCCAGCCAUGCCGCGUGAGUGAAGAAGGCCUGG
rnacentral:rRNA from 1 species